UGGCCCAAAUGGACUUGAGACUGCCUACUUACUGCUCUGCUCUGUGCACUGCUGGCCAGAAGCACCCAUCAGUGUCACAGGCCACGGUGUGCCGGGAUCACAGACAUCCGGAGGAGGGAGAAGAAUACAUCCAGGAGGAAAAGGAAGCAGUAAACAAAGGAAGGAAAGGACAACUGCAGUUUGAAGAAAGGAUGCUUAUGAAAGGAGAAAAAGUUCAAAAUUUGAGCUACUGCAGCAAACUAGGAAGACACUGUUAAUUUCUAUUUAAAGAAUGUGAUGGCUGGAGUGCAGCAGCUCUCUUGCAUCCUGAGGAGGACUAACUGCAGGUUUGACAGAGAAUAAGCCAAGAGGAAGGCAGGACCGUGAGAAACCUGACGCUGCCAUACCAGGCCCAGACUGCCUACCUCUGGAUUUCCUUGACCCACGAGGGAAAUAAUCUAAGCCACCAUUAUUUUCUAUUUUCUGUUAUGGCAGCUAAGCCUAAUUUUAACUGAU